rnacentral:rRNA from 1 species
UCGGGAAUUUUGGGCAAUGGGCGAAAGCCUGACGCAGCAACGCCGCGUGAAGGAUGAAGUAUUUCGGUAUGUAAACUUCGUAAGAAUAGGAAGAAUAAAUGACGGUACUAUUUGUAAGGUCCGGCUAACUACGUGCCAGCAGCCGCGGUAAUACGUAGGGACCAAGCGUUGUUCGGAUUUACUGGGCGUAAAGGGCGCGUAGGCGGUGUGUCAAGUCAGUUGUGAAAUCUCCGAGCUUAACUCGGAACGGUCAACUGAUACUGUCACACUAGAGUACAGAAGGGGCAAUCGGAAUUCUUGGUGUAGCGGUGAAAUGCGUAGAUAUCAAGAGGAACACCUGAGGCGAAGGCGGGUUGCUGGGCUGAUACUGACGCUGAGGCGCGAAAGCUAGGGUAGCAAACGGGAUUAGAUACCCUGGUAGUCCCUGAGCGGGCUGGCAAGGCGCAU